AUACGGAGGGUGCAAGCGUUAUUCGGAAUCACUGGGCGUAAAGGACGCGUAGGCGGGUUGGCAAGUCAGAUGUGAAAUCCUACAGCUUAACUGUAGAACUGCAUUUGAAACUGCUAACCUAGAGUAUGGGAGGGGGAGAUGGAAUUAGUGGUGUAGGGGUAAAAUCCGUAGAUAUCACUAGGAAUACCGAAAGCGAAGGCGAUCUCCUGGAACAUAACUGACGCUAGGCGUGAAAGCGUGGGGAGCAAACAGGAUUAGAAACCCUAGUAGUCC
rnacentral:rRNA from 1 species